GACACACUUGGUUGAAUCUGGAUGUGGGAAUAACUUCUUCUGCAAAGUGCAUGACAUCCUACAAAAGCAUGCCAAAAAUGAAAACGAGAGAGAUAUUGUGAGAAACCUGGGAAUAUUCAUUAAGGAAUCAGAUAUGAACUGCAAAGAAGUACUAAAGAAAGUACGGCCGUCAGAAAAAGAACAGCCACUACCUGGUUUGCUGGAAAACCUC